rnacentral:rRNA from 1 species
UACAGAGGGGGCAAGCGUUAUUCGGAAUUAUUGGGCGUAAAGAGCGUGUAGGCGGUCCGGUAAGUCCGCUGUGAAAGUCGGGGGCUCAACCCUCGAAUGCCGGUGGAUACUGUCGGGCUAGAGUGCGGAAGAGGCGAGUGGAAUUCCUGGUGUAGCGGUGAAAUGCGCAGAUAUCAGGAGGAACACCUAUUGCGAAGGCAGCUCGCUGGGACGUAACUGACGCUGAGACGCGAAAGCGUGGGGGAGCAAACAGG